GAUGAACGCUAGCUACAGGCUUAACACAUGCAAGUCGAGGGGAAACGACAUCGAAAGCUUGCUUUUGAUGGGCGUCGACCGGCGCACGGGUGGGUAACGCGUAUCCAACCUGCCCACCACUUGGGGAUAACCUUGCGAAAGUAAGACUAAUACCCAAUGACGUCUCUAGAAGACAUCUGAAAGAGAUUAAAGAUUUAUCGGUGAUGGAUGGGGAUGCGUCUGAUUAGCUUGUUGGCGGGGUAACGGCCCACCAAGGCGACGAUCAGUAGGGGUUCUGGGAGGAAGGUCCCCCACAUUGGAACUGAGACACGUUCCAAACUCCUACGGGAGGAAGCAGUGAGUAAUAUUGGUCAAUGGGCGAGAGCCUGAACCAGCCAAGUAGCGUGCAGGAUGACGGCCCUAUGGGUUGUAAACUGCUUUUAUAAGGGAAUAAAGUGAGUCUCGUGAGACUUUUUGCAUGUACCUUAUGAAUAAGGACCGGCUAAUUCCGUGCCAACAGCCGCCGUAA
rnacentral:rRNA from 1 species